UACGUAGGGACCGAGCGUUGUCCGGAAUCAUUGGCGUAAAGAGCGUGUAGGCGGCUUGCUAAGUCUUGCGUGAAAUCUCGGGGCUCAACCCCGAGCGGUCGUGGAAACUGGCAGGCUAGAGUGCGGGAGAGGAGAAUGGAAUUCCUGGUGUAGCGGUGAAAUGCGCAGAUAUCAGGAAGAACACCCGUGGCGAAGGCGGCUCUCUGGGACGGUACUGACGCUGAGACGCGAAAGCGUGGGGAGCGAACAGG
rnacentral:rRNA from 1 species